AGAGUGAUGACUUAUAAUUUGCGUUCUAGAGUACUGUAUUGGAAACACGCCUAGUUUCAAUUAACAAUACGGUAUAACAUGCGACCAUUUUAACUGCCUGAUUA